GACGAACGCUGGCGGCGUGCUUAACACAUGCAAGUCGAACGGAAAGGCCCUGCUUGCAGGGUGCUCGAGUGGCGAACGGGUGAGUAACACGUGGGUGAUCUGCCCCUUACUUUGGGAUAAGCCUGGGAAACUGGGUCUAAUACUGGAUAGGACCAUGCUGUAGGUGGUGUGGUGGAAAGAUUAGUUUCGGUAAGGGAUGAGCUCGCGGCCUAUCAGCUUGUUGGUGGGGUAAUGGCCUACCAAGGCGUCGACGGGUAGCCGGCCUGAGAGGGUGGACGGCCACAUUGUGACUGAGAUACGGCCCAGACGCCUACGGGAGGCAGCAGUGGGGAAUAUUGCACAAUGGGCGCAAGCCUGAUGCAGCGACGCCGCGUGGGGGAUGACGGCCUUCGGGUUGUAAACUCCUUUCAGCCAUGACGAAGCCCUUGUGGUGACGGUAGUGGUAGAAGAAGCACCGGCUAACUACGUG
rnacentral:rRNA from 1 species